GACGGUAAAGGAAUUAGCUUGCUAAUUUGCUGACGAGUGGCGCACGGGUGCGUAACGCGUAUACAAUCUACCUUUUGCUGAGGGAUAGCCCAGAGAAAUUUGGAUUAAUACCUCAUGGUAUUAUUGAUAGGCAUCUAUUAAUAAUUAAAGGUUACGGCAAAAGAUGAGUAUGCGUCCCAUUAGCUAGUUGGCGAGGUAACGGCUCACCAAGGCAACGAUGGGUAGGGGUCCUGAGAGGGAGAUCCCCCACACUGGUACUGAGACACGGACCAGACUCCUACGGGAGGCAGCAGUGAGGAAUAUUGGACAAUGGGCGAGAGCCUGAUCCAGCCAUGCCGCGUGCAGGAAGACUGCCCUAUGGGUUGUAAACUGCUUUUAUACAGGAAGAAUAAGCCUUACGUGUAAGGUGAUGACGGUACUGUAAGAAUAAGGACCGGCUAACUCCGUGCCAGCAGCCGCGGUAAUACGGAGGGUCCGAGCGUUAUCCGGAAUUAUUGGGUUUAAAGGGUCCGUAGGCGGAUGAUUAAGUCAGGGGUGAAAGUUUGCAGCUCAACUGUAAAAUUGCCUUUGAUACUGGUCAUCUUGAGUUGUAUUGAAGUAGGCGGAAUAUGUAGUGUAGCGGUGAAAUGCAUAGAUAUUACAUAGAACACCAAUUGCGAAGGCAGCUUACUAAGUACUAACUGACGCUGAUGGACGAAAGCGUGGGUAGCGAACAGGAUUAGAUACCCUGGUAGUCCACGCCGUAAACGAUGGAUACUAGCUGUUCGGGACCUUGAGUUCUGAGCGGCUGAACGAAAGUGAUAAGUAUCCCACCUGGG
rnacentral:rRNA from 1 species